rnacentral:rRNA from 1 species
GACGAACGCUGGCGGCGUGCUUAACACAUGCAAGUCGAACGGAAAGGCCCUGCUUUCGUGGGGUGCUCGAGUGGCGAACGGGUGAGUAACACGUGAGUAACCUGCCCUUGACUUUGGGAUAACUUCAGGAAACUGGGGCUAAUACCGGAUAGGAGCUCCUGCUGCAUGGUGGGGGUUGGAACGUUUCGGCGGUUGGGGAUGGACUCGCGGCUUAUCAGCUUGUUGGUGGGGUAGUGGCUUACCAAGGCUUUGACGGGUAGCCGGCCUGAGAGGGUGACCGGCCACAUUGGGACUGAGAGACGGCCCAGACUCCUACGGGGGGCAGCAGUGGGGAAUAUUGCACAGUGGGCGGAAGCCUGAUGCAGCAACGCCGCGUGCGGGAUGACGGCCUUCGGGUUGUAAACCGCUUUCGCCUGUGACGAAGCGUGAGUGACGGUAAUGGGUAAAGAAGCACCGGCUAACUACGUG